rnacentral:lncRNA from 1 species
ACCACUUGCCCUGCCCCUAUGGUAAUAAAAGUGAGAAUAGAUUUAAAGCAUACAAGUGAUUCAGAUUUAUUCUUUCUGUGAAAAUUGAUUGGCUAUUAAGGUGUCUGGCACACAUAUUUAAUCAGGUAAAAAAUAGAUUGGUGUAUUAUGAAAAAGUAUUUAUCAUUUUACAAUGGCAUAUUGUAUAUAAUCAUUUAAAUUGAUGAGGUGCCUAAUAUAAAUACCUUUCUUGUAUCUUAUGCCCUGUCUUUGCUUUUUUUCCCCUUUCGGUAGAUGUUUGCUUUCCUUUCACCUAAACUGCUCUGUGUAUUAGUAAGCCCUGGAGCUGGAGCUGGAGCUGCGGCUCAGUGGUGUAGUACUUGCCUUGCAUGCACAAGGCCCAAGCUAACAAACCUAGACCAAACCAGAACAAAACAACAUUUCUCAACAAUAUGCCUACAUUUAAUUUCCUGGACACUUUUAGUUUAUACCUGCUUACUACUCCUAUCCCAAUGAAUUAGUCUCCUUCUGAUUCUAAUUGUUCCAAUUAUUCCAAUUGUUCCAAUCCAGUGAUGGACACACAAUUUUAGAUGAAGUCUUAGUUUAUGACACACUUUAUAUCAGAAAUAACUGUGUCAUAUAUUUAGUAUAAUGUCUUAGUAGACUUCCUUCCUAUUCUGCCAACAGACUUUAAUAUUCCAGUCAUUCCUUAUCCUCUACCUUCACCACUACCUCUACACACAUGCACACGCUCACACACACACACACACACACCACACGCUCACACACACACACACACACACACACACACACACACACACACACACACAAGUGGAGUCACUCAUACUCAUCAAGGCAGUCACCAAGUAUGCUCUCCCAUGCUGAAUUUUAGUACUAUAAUAUACUCAUAUGGACCUACGUCAUAUCUUUCCUUGUUCUCUGGAAAUCCUGCUGUGUCUGUGAUUUCUUUUCUGGCUAGCUACUAAUGUCCAUCACCUGUUCUAUCUCUGGCUUUUUUUUUUUUGGACUUGGAUGCUUGGGUUGGCAUCAAAAGUAAUUUACACCAAACAAUAUUAUUUGUGAGCCCCCCCCCCCUUUUUAAACUUCCCUAGCAGGUUCCCUGUAGUUGUAGUUUUCUUUGGAAAAGGAGGCCACUACUCUAAAUCUGACAAAUUGAAAGUAUUUGUCAGCAUCCCAUUGAAGUAAAUAAAGUGAUUUUUAAGUCAAAAUAGUGGUUUUAGCUCUACGUCCACAUGUAUUGUCAUGCCAGAAAAACUAAGUUUGUGCGACAAAGGUAGAAGACAAGGGUGGGGGCAACAUACUAGGAAAGGGGGUAAAGUUGGAUUUAAAACUUUCUUCAAGGUUAAAAAAGAGUGUAUAUCUUGAAUUGUCUGAAUGGAACGCGAGCUGACUCUGUCACUCAUUCAUAUUGUAUUACUAUUAGAGUCAUAUCCUCUGUAGUCUUGUCUCUGCGAGUCAGUGAUGUGGGCUUUCAAGGAAAGCCGAAAAUCUAGGAAAAUGCAUCUGCACUUCUGGUCUUGUGUCCAUGCCUGUGUCACCUUCCAAGAAGAAGCAUUGAUUCUUACAUACAAUGGCAAUGGGUAGGUCUAUUCUUUCUCGUUUUCAUUUAUGCACUUUCUGGACUUGCUGCUCUCAGUGUAGUGCUUUGCAUUUGGGAGACGUUCAUAGAUCCAACUUUCCCAUUCAUGUUAAAGUAAACAAGAACCCUGCAGGGAGUAUUUCUUUUGUUAGCACAGAUGCCGUCAUUGCGACUUACAAGGAAUAUUACCUUUAGAGAAGAGAGUAUUCAAAUAAGACAUAUUUCUAGAAGUUUAUGGUUUAUAAAGUAGAGCUGAAUUAUCUGCCAUCUCUAUAAAUUUCUAAGGGUUUAUAAUUUCCUGAGUAGAUUAUAACUCAUUAAGGAAGGAGGCUGUUUUGUAUGGCUGUUUAGCCUUUUGUUACCCUAAAGGAAGAAACAAAAACCAAACAACAACAACAAACAACAAAAUUUACUAUGGAAAUAGUACAUGAGUUAAAAUUUUUCCUGUCUGAUACUCUAAUAAACAUUACAGGUCUGGAGAUAUGGUUUAGCAAUAGAGGACUUGUGUAGUAUGUGUAAGGCCUCACACUGCAUCUCGAAGCAUUGCCCAAAGAAAUGAACAAAAGAAAUUAUCAUCGACUCCUGGCAUUCUGCUUUUGCAUGAUGAUUUUCAUGUUUCUUCUCAUUUAAAGUAGGAAAUGUCUAGUGUGGGAGGUUGUGGGAGUGCCUAACGAACUAGUUCAACAGGCCACAGAAUAGGAGAAAAGCAGCUACACUUCAAAGAAGAGACUAACAGAAUGUACAGAGAAUUGCAGAAACUAAAU